rnacentral:rRNA from 1 species
GAUGAACGCUGGCGGCGUGCCUAAUACAUGCAAGUCGAGCGAACGGACGAGAAGCUUGCUUCUCUGAUGUUAGCGGCGGACGGGUGAGUAACACGUGGAUAACCUACCUAUAAGACUGGGAUAACUUCGGGAAACCGGAUCUAAUACCGGAUGAUAUUUUGAACCGCAUGGUUCAAAAGUGAAAGACGGUCUUGCUGUCACUUAUAGAUGGAUCCGCGCUGCAUUAGCUAGUUGGUAAGGUAACGGCUUACCAAGGCAACGAUGCAUAGCCGACCUGAGAGGGUGAUCGGCCACACUGGAACUGAGACACGGUCCAGACUCCUACGGGAGGCAGCUGUAGGGAAUCUUCCGCAAUGGGCGAAAGCCUGACGGAGCAACGCCGCGUGAGUGAUGAAGGUCUUCGGAUCGUAAAACUCUGUUAUUAGGGAAGAACAUAUGUGUAAGUAACUGUGCACAUCUUGACGGUACCUAAUCAGAAAGCCACGGCUAACUACGUG